AUUGAACGCUGGCGGCAGGCCUAACACAUGCAAGUCGAACGGUAGCACAGAGAGCUUGCUCUCGGGUGACGAGUGGCGGACGGGUGAGUAACGUCUGGGAAACUGCCCGAUGGAGGGGGAUAACUACUGGAAACGGUAGCUAAUACCGCAUAACGUCGCAAGACCAAAGUGGGGGACCUUCGGGCCUCACACCAUCGGAUGUGCCCAGAUGGGAUUAGCUAGUAGGUGGGGUAAUGGCUAACCUAGGCGACGAUCCCUAGCUGGUCUGAGAGGAUGACCCGCCACACUGGAACUGCGACACGGUCCAGACUCCUACGGGAGGCAGCAGUGGGUAAUAUUGCACAAUGGGCGCAAGCCUGAUGCAGCCAUGCCGCGUGUAUGAAGAAGGCCUUCGGGUUGUAAAGUACUUUCAGCGGGGAGGAAGGCGGUGAAGUUAAUAGCUUCACCGAUUGACGUUACCCGCAGAAGAAGCACCGGCUAACUCCGUGCCAGCAGCCGCCGUAA
rnacentral:rRNA from 1 species